AUGCAGUCGAACGGUAACAGGAAGAGCUUGCUGCUUUGCUGACGAGUGGCGGACGGGUGAGUAAUGUCUGGGAAACUGCCUGAUGGAGGGGGAUAACUACUGGAAACGGUAGCUAAUACCGCAUAACGUCGCAAGACCAAAGAGGGGGACCUUCGGGCCUCUUGCCAUCGGAUGUGCCCAGAUGGGAUUAGCUAGUAGGUGGGGUAACGGCUCACCUAGGCGACGAUCCCUAGCUGGUCUGAGAGGAUGACCAGCCACACUGGAACUGAGACACGGUCCAGACUCCUACGGGAGGCAGCAGUGGGGAAUAUUGCACAAUGGGCGCAAGCCUGAUGCAGCCAUGCCGCGUGUAUGAAGAAGGCCUUCGGGUUGUAAAGUACUUUCAGCGGGGAGGAAGGGAGUAAAGUUAAUACCUUUGCUCAUUGACGUUACCCGCAGAAGAAGCACCGGCUAACUCCGUGCCAGCAGCCGCGGUAAUACGGAGGGUGCAAGCGUUAAUCGGAAUUACUGGGCGUAAAGCGCACGCAGGCGGUUUGUUAAGUCAGAUGUGAAAUCCCCGGGCUCAACCUGGGAACUGCAUCUGAUACUGGCAAGCUUGAGUCUCGUAGAGGGGGGUAGAAUUCCAGGUGUAGCGGUGAAAUGCGUAGAGAUCUGGAGGAAUACCGGUGGCGAAGGCGGCCCCCUGGACGAAGACUGACGCUCAGGUGCGAAAGCGUGGGGGAGCAAACAGGAUUAGAUACCCUGG
rnacentral:rRNA from 1 species